UGUAUCUGAAGCCUGACGAGGAUGAGAACCUCCGGGGGUAAGAGGUUCGACUCGAGCGAAGCGAGAGAACGUUGCGCCAGCAACGGCCCGCAGGGCGAGCCAUCCUCUAUCACCGGCA
rnacentral:sRNA from 1 species